AUGUCCUUCAUUUGCGGCGACUACUGGGCGGUAAUGAAGGCCAACUGGAUCGUCCUCAUCCACCAAUCCGUAGACGCAAAUGCGUUGGCCUUCAUCAUUCCAGGACCUGGAAUCAUACCAGCCGAUGGGUGGUGGUUUAUCACUCGUUCAAUUGACGGUGGUCAUUUGAUGCUCAUUUGCACUGGAAUUAACCCAUGCAAGUCAAAGAAGGAUUUGCCGGUGCUGCCGGCUGGCGUCAACUUCAAUCCCACGGAUCAGGAGCUGAUCGAGCACCUUGAGGCCAAACUGAGUGCUGACAACGUGAGAUCUCACCCUCUCAUCGAUUUGUUCAUACCAACCAUCGACAGCGAGCACGGCAUAUGCUACACCCAUCCUGAAAAACUUCCAAAUGUUAUGAAAAUGCCAACUACGUACACUGAAACCUGUAUUCGACAAUACUGCAGGGCGUUCAAAAGGGGCACGUGGACAUGUCGCAAGAUACAGUCGAAGCGCGGCAUGCACGCGAUGUGGCACAACACCGGCAAUACCUUGCCAGCGAUGGUCAACGGUCAGCAGACGGGCAGCAAAAAGUACUUUGUCGUCCGCAAGUUGGUAUUGUUGUUAACGAUCUUUUCGUAUGAACUUGGCAUUUGCUUCCAACCAUCAUGCCGAGGGUCGACGUGGAUAUAA
rnacentral:rRNA from 1 species